UACGUAGGGGGCUAGCGUUGUCCGGAAUCAUUGGGCGUAAAGAGCGCGUAGGCGGCCAGAUAAGUCCGGUGUGAAAGUCACAGGCUCAACCUGUGAAUGCCGCUGGAAACUGUCUGGCUAGAGUCCGGGAGGGGCGAGUGGAAUUCCCGGUGUAGCGGUGAAAUGCGUAGAGAUCGGGAGGAACACCAGAGGCGAAGGCGGCGACCUGGACAGGUACUGACACUCAACUACGAAAGCGUGGGGAGCAAACAGG
rnacentral:rRNA from 1 species